GACGAACGCUGGCGGCGUGCUUAACACAUGCAAGUCGAACGGAAAGGCCCUGCUUUUGUGGGGUGCUCGAGUGGCGAACGGGUGAGUAACACGUGAGUAACCUGCCCUUGACUUUGGGAUAACUUCAGGAAACUGGGGCUAAUACCGGAUAGGAGCUCCUGCUGCAUGGUGGGGGUUGGAAAGUUUCGGCGGUUGGGGAUGGACUCGCGGCUUAUCAGCUUGUUGGUGUGGUAGUGGCGUACCAAGGCGUUGACGGGUAGCCGGCCUGAGAGGGUGACCGGCCACAUUGGGACUGAGAUACGGCCCAGACUGCUACGGGAGGCAGCAGUGGGGAAUAGUGCACAAUGGGCGGAAGCCUUAUGCAGCAACGCCGCGUGCGGGAUGACGGCCUUCGGGUUGUAAACCGCUUUCGCCUGUGACGAAGCGUGAGUGACGGUAAUGGGUAAAGAAGCACCGGCUAACUACGUG
rnacentral:rRNA from 1 species